ensembl:lncRNA
CUACAAAGAUGGACUUGAAAAUGAAGUAGUAUACAAGAUAUUCAGUAAGUAUUCCAAGAGAUAUUUUAGGAGUCUUGGGAAUUAAUUCCAGAUACAAAUCAAAAGUUUUGUCCCUGGUCGCUGGGCAAGAGCUCUUAGAAAAGACCGAGAGUAAUUAAAUAAGCAGGCAGCAUGUGCAAAUCAGUUCAAACCAAUACGAACAAAGGCAACUUGUUUUAAAUAUGGACAAAUGCCUUUGAUAGCAAGGUCAGAUUAAAAAAAAUAAAAAUUGGACUACUUAUAAAGAGAACUUUCUCCACUUUGACAAAUAUAAUUCCUCCUACGUUUCUCUGCACUGUGUCAGGAUCCCUGCAUGCAGAUGUAAGGGACUGUGUCUCUGGGUGCUGCUCAGCCAAGCAACAGCAGUGUCGUCAGGUGCAGUGGCUCUGGGUCUGAGCAGCGUAUCUGGCUGCAGGGCUGAGUUCAGGUCCAGACAGUCCAGGAGCUGGAUCAGAGUCUGAUGACCAUCUGCACUGAGUCUGUCAGCCAAAACCGUCUUGGCCAGUACAGUGCUGGGGAGCGAUCGCGUCUUUGUCUCUUUUUGAUCUUUCAGAUUACCCUGGGAAUCAGAGGAGCUACUGGAAAAGCAUAACACAGGGCUCAGCAGGAGAAUAACCGUCCUGGACCUGGGCCCUCUUGGAGCAGCAACUCUUAUUCUUGGAGGUGAGUACAUUUAUUUUGGAGUCUUUGCAGUGUUGCCUCCAUAUACUAGGUGUGCAUUUACUACUGAUAGAUUGCCUCGACGGGGAGCUGUUGCGUUUCCUCCAGGCUCUUGGAGAUGGAUGACCAUUUGGAUUCCCUAGGCACACGUCAGCCAGACUGGAGUGCAAAGCUCUCAUGGAGAUAGUCUUUCUUGGUGUAAAUCCAUCACUAUGCCCCUGAAGAGUCAUUCUCUUGAUGUUCAAAGUACAGAUCAGAAUGCUGCUCAGGCCACUUCCCUAUCUCUCACCUCCAAGAUAUUUGUAUGUUAUUUCGUAACACAGUUCCUGGGCCAAUGUUCUCUGACUACAAAGGUGGUAAAAAAAAUCAGUUCCCAAUGUGUUAGGGAUGCAGCUGUGAUUAAAUUCCUUAUCAAGGGAAGCUUUCUCAUGUAUUAGUGUGUUCAAGCCACCAAGCCAGUUCUGCAACAGGAUGUGGCACCAAGAUUUUCCUGUCUAUCCAAUGUCUUAUCUGAGAAGAGACCAACUUGACUCACGGCUAAUGAGGUUGCCGACUAAAUCCAUAAGGCAAAUUCACAUGUAUUAGGCUGACAAGAGAUCUAAUUAUGGGGUGUUGGAAUCAUUUUGAUACCCACAGGAAUAGAAGCACUUGUAAUAAAAGGAAAUCUGCCAACAGGGAACUAAGAUUUUACUGAUCAGGAGUUAGUGAUUGGCCCCAUAGGCUGAGAAAGAAUUAGCAACAACUAAUGGGAUGCAAUGAGAUGUGCAUAUUUACAUGAUCUGAAUGCCAUGCAUUCUUAGAUGGCUAACAGCCACUGUUGGACUUUUUAUGAAGAUCUUCUUGCUCAUGAGGGGGAAAAUGGCAGGAUUUUGUGCUGCAAAUCACUUGAUCCUGUUUGAUCCAAACUGUCUUCAGUCUACUCUGCUCAUCUUUUUUUUUUUUUCUUGCCCCUUGCUCAAGAACUGACAAAAGUUCAUUACAAACAGUAGAAGGGCAAUUUCUAGUUUUUGUUUUCAUGUCACCAAUAGCCACUGAGGGUAAAGAAACCAAGAAAGAGCCACAAACAUCCCUAACAUUUUUAACCAUGAAUAGCUACAAAGAGAAGCAAACAGCACAGAGCUGUUGCUUUUUUGGAAAAAUCCCAGUUGGAUAUAUGUAACUUCAGUGAAAUCCACUCUAAUACAGACCUGAAGAGCAACAGCACAUUUAAAACUGCUCCUCCAGCUUCCUGGGGGAAGAGAAAAGAGAGGCAGCAUGUUCUGACCUGCUCCAGGAGCAGGAGCCGGAGGCAGUUCACAAGGAUACCAACAGGGCAAAUUGGAAAGGUGGAAAGGAGCAAGCAUGUGUAUUUCUAAUGCAGAGCAGCUACUCCCAAAAGCAAAUCCUUUGAAGAAAAUGUGCAGGUAAGAACCAUUAAACACUCUUGGGAGAGAAAAGGUUGACAUCAUAUUUUUUCCUCUACAUAAAAAUGUAUUCCUACAUACCUUACUUUGUAAGGCAUGCCUAAGAGUCCAGCCCUCUUAUUAUCCUCCAGUGUUAUUCCCCUCUUUUCUUAUGCUAACUCACUUGUGGGGAAAAAAAAAUAACAGCAAAGCACUCUAUUAAUGGAAAACCUCUUCACUUCAAUGGAGCCAAGAAAUGCAAGAAACGCACACUGUCCCUGAAUUCAGCUCAAGGGAAUGAAGAAUGGAAGUAAUUCACAGCCAUCUUAUACCCGUCUAAGUCUCUCUCUCUCCAUCUCAUCCUACAGGCUUUCAUCUUUAGUCUCAGUGGCACAGUGGCAGAUGUCACUUUGGCACUGCUUCUGAGCUGUUCUCUGUGAAUUAACAGUGGAAUUCGAUACAGGAUCAGGUUCUAACAACCUCACUCAGUGACCCGGUACCAUCUAACUACCAGGAAUAUUGUCAAAGUUAAAGGUUCCCAAAGGCUGUUACUGGUGAUCCUACCAGUGUGCCAGCUACAGUCCCCACCAUCUCCUCUGACCACAAAUUUGCAGGCAUAUCUCUGGGUGUGGCUGGAAUAUACUCUCCAAAGGAUGCUGAGAAUCAAAUAUCAGCUGCCCCCAGCAAGUGCCAUGCCCAUUGUAUAGAUGUGCUGCUCAUCAAGAUAAAAGGAAUAAGGAUCUAUCUCAAAGCACUUAGGUAUGAUUAAAUAAAGGAUGCCAUUUCCUGUGCUGCUAAUCUGGUUCCUUUCAAAAUCACUAACUUCACUUUCUGAAAAGUUACCAUCUUUUAAUUCUCACGGGUCUCCUCUACAGUUCUCCUCCUCCUUCCUGAGAAGGGGUGAUCCACUUCAUGAUACAACAGGAGCUCACACGACUGAUUAAAGUGAACUCCAUGCAACACAAACAGUGAUUUUUCAUGUACAAAAUGAAAGAAUUGAACUGCUCUCUCUUUUGAGUUUUGUCUGGGUCAGGAUACCCAAUUAACCUGCAGGUUCCUGUACUGGCAGUUACCUGCUCUUCACUUUGAAAUCAAGUCACUCUCCUGUUUUGGGAGCUUGCCUGCUCUGAAAGCCUUCCUGUUCUUUAAUAUGAUAGAAUAAAGCAGAAGCAGCUACUACGAAAAAAAAAAAAAGAAAAGAAAGAAAGAAAGAAAAACCAGGCUCAUUCCAUAUGGCCUCUUACUAUACAUUUUGAGUAUGACUGUCGAAAGUUCAAUAACAUCUUAACUGCUUGGCUACUAAGAGGCAAGCUAUUUUAGGACUUCAAUAUUUGGCGCGUAUGUAUGAAGUCAAGUAAGGCUUUAGGUUAUACAUUCCCACCCAUAACACUUCCAGGGUUUAGACUGCACAACCUCUGCGUGUGUAUUUUUUGGUGCCAUUCUUAUUUGCAGAAACCCAGUCAGAUUAUAUACCUCACUGUUCUUUCCAGAUUAGGCACCACAUGCAACAUAGCUUCACGCAGAGUACUCUCAUGUUUGGUAGUCCUACUUUUUUCUUUUUUUCCCCACUUCUUUUUUGGCUUGCAGGAUUUGUGCUGAAGCAGAAAAACAGAGGACUUUGUGUAUUUAUUGACAUAAGUUCAAGCAUGUGAGAGUGAAGCUGAGAGUGUGACUAAGCAGGCUCUUACCUGCAGUAACCAUACAAAAUGUCCAUUGAACAUAUGAGGAAGGACUGCGUAGGCAGUGAAGCCAAAUCUCUUCCAGGCACAAUGAAACCCCAAGGCUGCAGCCAUGGUGCUUGACACUUGAAGUGCAACACACAUCUGACCACACUGAAUGCAUUGCAUGCCUCUACUUUGGACUGUUGCUCUGUGAAAGUGUGUGUUGAGCAAAGCCAUAGGCAAAAAUGAGUUAGAUGCAUCUGACAUGGGGGCAUGUGCUGCAUAAAUCACAACCUGUAUCUCUGUCUCAGCCUAGGUGGGAAUGUGACUGCUGUGACAUGUCAGAGCCCAUCUCUGCUCACACUGCUUAGGUUCAUUGAUAGUAUGCAAGUAAUGAAAAUCUGCAGAGAGUCACAUACAACUGAUGUCUCUCUGCUGCAUAGUGUAGCAUGUAGAAGAAAGUUAUUUAUACACUGAGCCUGACUUUCCUUUAUCCUGUGUCACGGACAGAAUUUUACAUUUGUGCAAAAGGAUGACAAAGUCAGCAUGGUAAUGGAAGGUGCAAGAAAACGGAGAAUGGGGUUUACAGCACAAAGGGAUCUACAUAUUUUUUUCUACAAAUACAGGCUUUGGCCAGAGCUCACUAAGCUAUGAUUUUAAACUGGAUGUUUCAGAAGUGAUGAAAAUCAGUGAAAACCAUACUUUUAACUAUCUCUCCAUAAGACUUUCUUCAAGGUGAUCUUAAAGUAUUUGCACUGUUUUGGAGCGGACCUUUUCGCUCCAACUUUAAUUUCACAUAUGUGCCACAGAUUGUAAGGCCCUACCACACCAUGAAAUUAAAUCGUCUGUGAGAGAAAGUCUUGUGCUAAUCGCAUGGCGGCUGACCACUAUAACUUUAGAAAAGUUAGAUUUUCUGCAUCCCAAGGCUGCUUCAGAGCUUCUCAUCAUUACAGUUCCCUUGGUGUCCACCUCCUUCCUUGACAGCCAUUUGGCCUGUCCAGCCUCCAGCUUCAGUCAGGUUUCUCUCACCACUUAUACCUGAUCUUUUGACUCUGAGUACCUGAAACAAUUCUCACGCAAUCUACUAAGCAAUAUAAAAUGAGAUAAUCUGCAAAGCUUUUCCAAAAACUAUGAACAAAUCGCUCACUUGAAAACCGCCACUCCCUUUCCGCAGUACCUUGGGCAGUAUGAAAGUCAUAUGAGAAAAUUGACUGGGGGGAGAAAAUGGAAGUACAUUUCAAAAUUGUAGUGCAUCCUGAUGGAAUAGUGUUUGUAAAAACACGCAUGUCUUUGUCAGUUGUUUUUUGUUUGUUUGUUUGAUUGAUUGAUUGAUUUUGUUUGACUUUUUUGCUUCCUGUUGGGAUAUUUUGACGAAUAAGUCAAAAAUUGCCUCCCACCAGUUAACAGGUUAGAGAUGAAUGCAAAGUUGAAGAUGGCAUCAUCUCCAAAGGGCAGAGUAGGAAGGGAGAGCAGCAUGAGUAGUGCUCAUGUGGAGGGUAUGGAGUGCUUACAGACUGAAUAGAGAUGGGACAUAAGGCUAAGGAAGGAACUCCUAUACUCUGAGCCUACUUUGGUCCAUCCAUGGCAACAUCCAUGCCAUAGCACUGACCUUUUUUCCCCCCUUGUUUUCUUUUUCUUUCUUUUUCAAACAAAAUUCUGGGUUGAGUAUUUUGUCCACAGAAUGUCUGAAAAAAAAAAAACAACACCAAAACCUCUUCCUUUACAUAAGCUUUCUCAAGAUCUUCCAUACAGUAGUCUUAUGUUGUUUUUGUUAGGUUAGAAUGAACCAUUCUUUAUCAGCUGGAAAUCUGCUACAGGACAGAUGCCAGCAUGAUUGCAAGAGAUGGUAAACCUCAAAAAGCAUGAGAUCUGGUUUGG